rnacentral:piRNA from 1 species
UAAAAGAAAAGGUUUAUCCAGUGGACUGA